rnacentral:rRNA from 1 species
UACGUAGGGUCCGAGCGUUGUCCGGAGUUACUGGGCGUAAAGCGCGCGCAGGCGGCUCGUCAAGUCUGGCGUGAAAGCCCCCGGCUCAACCGGGGGAGGGUCGUCGGGAGACUGGCGAGCUUGAGGGCGGUAGGGGCUGGUGGAAUUCCCGGUGUAGUGGUGAAAUGCGUAGAGAUCGGGAGGAACACCCGUGGCGAAGGGCGGCCAGCUGGGCCGUCCCUGACGCUGAGGCGCGAAGGCGUGGGGGAGCGAAACGGG